GUCUGUUCGUUAUAAAGAACAGUCUGGCCUGCCCACUGAUUAUAUUUUAAAGGCCGCGGUAUACUGACCGUGCGAAGGUAGCAUAAUAAUUAGUCUUUUAAUUGAAGACUGGAAUGAACGGUCGGACAAAGAGAAAACUGUCUCAUAUUUAAAAAUUGAAAUUAACUUUUAAGUGAAAAGGCUUAAAUAAUCUUAAAGGACGACAAGACCCUAUAAAACUUUAUAUAACUAACUAACCUAUAAUUUAUAAGUUUAACAAAGGUAAGAAAAAGUUGUAUUUCGUUGGGGCGACGAAAGUAUAUGAGUAACUGCUUUUAUAUUAAAACAAUAGUAUUUGAAAUAAAUGACCCUUAAUAGAGAUCUAAAGAAAAAGUUACUUUAGGGAUAACAGCGUUAUUUUUUUUGAGAGUCCUUAUCGACAGAAAAGUUUGCGACCUCGAUGUUGAAUUAAAGUCCCAUUAUAGUGCAGCAAUUAUAAAGGUAGGUCUGUUCGACCUUUAAAACUUUACAUGAUUUGAGUUCAAACCGGCGUAAG
rnacentral:rRNA from 1 species